AAAUAUAGUAUUCUGUCCACGGUCUCCUCAUUUUAUUUAAUUGAAUUGGAUAUAACUUUUUUAUGGAGUGCGUGACAAAUGAUUGUCAACUCUUACACCUCAUCUCUCGCAAAAUACAAAGAAAAAAAUAAAAUAAAAUAAAAACUCUGACACCUCACCCUCAUAACAAACAAAAUCUCAAGCUAAAAAAUAAUAAUAAUUUCUCACUUUUUCCCUUAAUUUAUUUUUUUUUUUGCUUCUAAUCUGAACUAUAAAUCGAAGACGCCCCCACUCUCCCAGUGACGUCGUCCUCAUCAACAUCUCUCCCCCCAAUCCAUUCCUCGCACCACCGAGAUGGCGGCUGCGCUCGAAUGCUGCUCCGAUCGGCGGAGCACGAACGAAGAAAUGCUCAAUCUACUCCUAAUGAAAGCCCCGCCUUAUGCCGGCGCAUUCCGGCGACAGUUGCCGGAGAAGAAAUGGCAUCGCCUGAGCCGUAAAGCGGCCGCAGCGAUUGCCGCCCUACAAAAAUCUCUCAACCGCCGCUUCACUCCCCCUUCCCUGUCUCAACUCUUGCCCGGAAUCCAUAUCCCUGAGAAACUUCUCCCCGACAUUCGCCGCCAUUUCGAUUCUCUUCCCAAUAGCUACUCUCAAGCUGGAUUCGACAUCAAGGAGGUUUGCCUUCAUCUUCGAUUAGUCGAGCUGGCCGCAAUCGAUGGUCAGCCCGUCUUUCAGAUCGAACGAAUCUCUGGUAGGGCUUCCGAUUUCAAGAUUAUUUUUGCCUGCAAAUCGGCCUUCUCGUGGCCGACGAUGUCGGGUGCCAUCGGAGGGGCGGUGCUCUGCUACAAGAAGAUUCAGAUCUUUGAGAAAAAGGGGAUUACCCUCGGAAUCGUUACCGUCCUCGUCGAUGCUCGUGGAGAGAAGAACUUCAAGUCCCGUAUCGAAGCGGCGCUUCGUUCCGCCGCUAAGAACCAGCUGAAUGAGAGCUUCAAGCUUCAUUUCAGCAUUUGCGGAUGCCGCGAAGAAGGCCUGGUGAUCAAUGAGGGCAAUUCUUCCUUUCCCCCUUCAUCGAAAAUCAAUACCAACCCCCCUCGCCAGAUUCAUCUCCCAAACCCACUUCCCGAGAUCGUCUGCUCCGGUGGCGUGGAUCUCGGCCGGUGGCUUCUCAGAUCGGUAGAUAUCGAAUUCGUCGAAAGGGCUGGAAUCAAUUCUUUUAUUGGAACUUACAAUGGGGAGAAGGUGUGGAUUAAGAAGCUGAAACGGUGUGAAAGGGGAAGCACAUAUGCAAUCGAGAUCCAGCAGAACCUGAUGCAGCUGAUGAGCUGCGGGCAUAAGAAUCUGCUGCAGUUCUGCGGCGUUUGUUUCAACGCGAGCAAUGGGCUCUGCGUCGUCACUCGGCUCAUGGAAGGAGGAUCCGUUCAUGAUCUGAUGAAGAACAAGAAGGUUAGGGUUCGUUCCGUCAUGAAGAUUGCAUUAGAUGUGUCGGAGGGUCUGUUGUUCGUGAACAAUCAUGGAGUGGCUUACAAAGAUCUCAACCGGCAGAGAAUUCUGUUGGAUCGAGAGGGUAAUGCUUGUCUUGGCGACAUGGGCAUUGUUUCCACCUGCAUGAAUCCAGGGGAGGUCACAGAGUAUGAGACUGCUGGAUACCAGUGGCUAGCUCCAGAGAUCAUAGCUGGCGAACCAGAGAGCAAAACUGAGACCUGGAUGAGCAAUGCGUACAGCUUCGGCAUGUUGUUGUGGGAGAUGGUUACCGGAGAAGUCGCAUACUCUUCCUGCUCGCCGGUGCAGGCGGCCGUAGGCGUUGCGGCCUGCGGAAUGCGGCCGGAGAUCCCAAAGGACUGCCCUCCUGUUCUUCGGUCCUUGAUGAUAAGGUGCUGGAACAACUGCCCCACAAAGCGUCCCACGUUCUCUGAGAUUGUUUCCAUCCUUCUGAAGCAAAAGAUUUGAGGAUCGAUGGCUGAUGUUUGGCUCUCUCCAGUUUUUUUCGUUAAGCGCAAUCGUUUCAAAUCUGGAGCACAACAUUUGGUGAUUGUUAUCUCGAUCCCCUUUGAGAAAAUGGGGCUUACUUCAAAUCUCCAUGAGACAUUGUUCUCCGCCUGCUAUCGCCCUCACGCAACUGGCCAUCCACCUUUGGGACUUAGCUCGCCGACUACUGUGCAAACCUGAGCAGGGUGAUGUUGCGAACUCUUUGAAUUGGUUGAUCAUCUUCCUCAUCUCCUCUUCUCUGAUCAGGAGUGCUCGACUCGGGUGUGAUUUUGAUGCAACCUUUGCCUUAGGUUGAUAAUUUUCUGGAGCAGCUGUCACUGAUUCUUCUUUCCCAGCACGAGUGGAUGCAAAGGAACGAGAAAAAGAAGCACUGAAACCGAUUUGUUGCAGUCUUUUUGAGUGGUUUGAAGUCAUUAAUUUACGCUCGAUCGAGCUGAAUCUUCAUCUUAGCAUCAAACUUCGGUUCCUGUGCUUCAUGGACGGCUGUAGGUGCUACGAACCAUCAUUGUCCUGUGAGAAUACUAUGGAUCCAUCCCUUUCACGAUUUUUUUUCUAUUACAAUUCUUUUGACGCCAACAAAUCCUUUGUCUUUAUAGAU